rnacentral:rRNA from 1 species
UACGUAGGGGCCUAGCGUUGUCCGGAUUUAUUGGGCGUAAAGAGCUCGUAGGCGGUUUGGUUAGUCAGGUGUGAAAUCUCCACGCUCAACGUGGAGGAGCCACCUGAUACUGCCAUGACUUGAGUCCGGUAGGGGAGUGUGGAAUUCCCGGUGUAGCGGUGAAAUGCGCAGAUAUCGGGAGGAACACCCGUAGCGAAGGCGGCACUCUGGGCCGUGACUGACGCUGAGGCGCGAAAGCUAGGGGAGCAAACAGG